GAGCGCUGUGGAGGUGACACUGGGCGCCUUAGAGGAGAGAGCUGCGUGAUGUAUCACCACUCACCAGCCCUUGCCGGAGACCUGUUUAGAGUGAGAUUACAGUCUCAGCAGAGCCUCUCAUUUCUCCUGGUCACGGGGUUACAGAGCACUUUACAACUUGUGCUACAGGAAGGCAGGGAGAGAUUUAAAUGAGAGACUGGAAGAGACCCUCCAUAAACCUCAGUCAGAGCAGCCCUGACUCACAGGGAUAGAGUGAAGAAAGAACAUUCUCAUUGUUCCUUCUAUGCUGAUGGUACAAGAAAGUCCUGGAAUCCUAAGGAUCUAGGAAAAAUCAACUUGAGAAGUUUCUAUGUGGAUAUAGAAUAGUUAUCAAAUAUAUGGGUAAGAUCCAAGUGCAUUACAGCUAUAGAUGGCAGCAUAUAGAUGUAGCUGUUAAAAUAAGUCCAUUAAAUGUUAGGCAGCAUUAUAAGCAGUAGCUAUCUAUUGAGU
rnacentral:lncRNA from 1 species